GAUGAACGCUAGCUACAGGCUUAACACAUGCAAGUCGAGGGGUAACGAGAGGAAAGCUUGCUUUCCUUGUCGACGACCGGCGCACGGGUGAGUAACGCGUAUCCAACCUGCCCCCAACUAGGGAAUAACCUUGCGAAAGUAAGACUAAUACCCUAUAAUUUCCUCAGAUGUCAUCUGACGAGGAAUAAAGAUUUAUCAGUUGUGGAUGGGGAUGCGUCUGAUUAGCUCGUUGGCGGGGUAACGGCCCACCAAGGCAACGAUCAGUAGGGGUUCUGAGAGGAAGGUCCCCAACAUUGGAACUGAGACACGGUCCAAACUCCUACGGGAGGCAGCAGUGAGGAAUAUUGGUCAAUGGGCGGAAGCCUGAACCAGCCAAGUAGCGUGCAGGAUGACGGCCCUAUGGGUUGUAAACUGCUUUUAUACAGGAAUAAAGUUAGCCACGUGUGGUUAUUUGUAGGUACUGUAUGAAUAAGGACCGGCUAAUUCCGUGCCAGCCGCCGCCGUAA
rnacentral:rRNA from 1 species